UCCUGUUUGGUGUAGUGGUUAACACGUUUGCCUCCUAUGUCUAAGGUUGUGGGUUCGAGUCCUGCUUCUGUCU